UUACUGGUGGUUCAGUGGUUAAGACCCUGCAUUGCCAAUGCAGGGGGCCAGGUUUGAUCCCUAGUCAGGGAA
rnacentral:tRNA from 1 species